GGCUUCGGCUAUCACUUUAGGAUGGACCCGCGGCGUAUUAGCUUGUUGGUAAGGUAACGGCCUACCAAGGCAAUGAUACGUAGCCGACCUGAGAGGGUAAUCGGCCACAUUGGGACUGAGACACGGCCCAAACUCCUACGGGAGGCAGCAGUAGGGAAUCUUCCACAAUGGACGAAAGUCUGAUGGAGCAACGCCGCGUGAGUGAUGAAGGGUUUCGGCUCGUAAAACUCUGUUGUUGGAGAAGAACAGGUGUGAGAGUAACUGUUCACAUCUUGACGGUAUCCAACCAGAAAGCCACGGCUAACUACGUGCCAGCAGCCGCGGUAAUACGUAGGUGGCAAGCGUUGUCCGGAUUUAUUGGGCGUAAAGCGAGCGCAGGCGGUUUCUUAGGUCUGAUGUGAAAGCCUUCGGCUUAACCGGAGAAGUGCAUCGGAAACCAGGAGACUUGAGUGCAGAAGAGGACAGUGGAACUCCAUGUGUAGCGGUGAAAUGCGUAGAUAUAUGGAAGAACACCAGUGGCGAAGGCGGCUGUCUGGUCUGUAACUGACGCUGAGGCU
rnacentral:rRNA from 1 species